ensembl:lncRNA
CCCAGCUUCUGAGAACGAGUUAUUGCAACAACCGAAACCCUUAUUUAUCCUUUUGCUCCCGACAUGAGUUGCAUAAUUUAUCAUUUAAAUAUGGGGCCCCGCAGACUUCUGCAUGCCGUUUUGCUCCAUCGGCGAAAGGGAAACUUAGAAUCAAUUCAACAACUCUCUUGCGGUUUGGAGAAAGGGCUAGUUUAAUUAUUUUUUUUGUUUGAAAAAACAAAACAAAACAAAACACAUUCCCUCUAUGAUUUUCCCGCUGAAUUCAGUGGUACCAUUUCUAAAAUCGUAUAGAUCUUGCAUUAAAUGAUCAUCGGUAAUGCGUACAGCCCAGUCUAUAACUCGUCCUGCUUCCUGGGCAUGCCGAGGCCCAGCUGCGACUCUCCGCCCUCCGCGGUGCGGGCUGCGGGUGCGCAGGGGCGGCGGCGGCCAUCCGCGGGGCCGCAGCAAUGUUCGCCGCGGGGCCACCCAUCUCCCAGCGCCGGGCUUUGCCUCUCCUCACUUUUAGGUCGAAUCCGGACCUCGGCGGAGAGUCGGGCCGGGCGGCGGCUCUUCUCUUCUGUGAAAGGAAAAAAAAAAACAAAAAACAAAAAGCAAAAAAAAAACCCAAAAAAACCAAAAAGGAACAAGUGGUUUAGGGAGCAGAGGCUGCGCUGCAGGUCUCCUCCUCCUCCCAAACCGACGGGCGGCCAUCUGUGCAGACCGCAGCUCGUUAACAUCGGGCGCGCCGUUCUCCCGCAAACACAGCCUCACGCCCGCGUGUGCGCACAUAGGCAGGGGAAGCCCCGCGCGGCGCGGGCACGGUGGGGUGGCGGAGGGGCGAAGACGUGCGGAGAAGGCAGGGAGCGGAGAGGAGGAACUGAUUGAAACAUUCGCCCCCAUAUAGAGCAAUCCCCUCCCGAUUCAGCCCCCGCAAUUCGUCUCUCAGCCCCGUGGAGAUAUGAUGAGAAAAGGAGACGAGUUAAUGAGCCCAUACUUUGCGGCUGGGAGGAGGAGGAGGCGACAGCGCCGUGUCUGUCCCACCGCCGCGUUUGUGAGGCCCGGCUGUGUCGGAGGAACGGCUCGGCCCCGGCCACUGCCCGGCCUCGGGGGCACCGAGGGACACCUCCAUGGCAGUGGGCGGCGGCGGCACCUGCUGCGGCGAGCCGGGGGGGAACAGCGCGGGGAGCCCCGUUGGCAGACCCCUUCCUCGGCGCUUGAGAAAUAAAUCUAUAGCACCAACCGCAAGUCCUCCUGCCGGCUGCCUACUGACUUCUAGCUGGAGGGAGGCCCUGUUCACGCACGACGUAAAAUACCGGAGGAACAGCUGGUGCAGCGGUCUCAGUGCACAGACAUAGCCGUGAACCCGGCUUGCCGGGCCGCGCAUCUCGCCGCAGCCCGCAGCGUCCCGCCGGGCAUCCCACCGCUCCAAACACUCUCUCCUCCCGGACUCCCCCUGCACGGUUUUGCCGCAGCCCCGAAGGACGCCCCGAGUGCGGGCCCGGACGGGUCCGGGGGAGGAGAGCUGCCGGCUCCCUCGGCAAUAACCAUCGGUUACCCCAAAGGGAACGGACGCGGCCCCACCGGGCUCCUCUCCCUUACGCUCUAAAAACUAAACGGGACCGUACGGAGCUCUCCUGCAGGGACCCGCGGCCCGCAGGGCGGCCUUGCAGCCGCACGCCAAGAACGGAACGCCGCGGAUCUCGCGUCCGACCUUCCGCUCGUUGACAACAGCGGCUUUUACCCUGCGAUGGCUACCAGCAAAACAGCAAAGCAUCGUUCUUCGACCCGCAAGAGUACUGAAAACUAAGGCGACGGGGCACUUCGAGACGUAAACGCACGUAACCACGGCGGCUUUCCUUCCCCACCCCAGACAACAAUGAAUAACUUUUUUUUUUUUUUUCCUCGAAAAUUUACAUUAUCCCCCCAUCUACAAAAUCGUUUUAAAUACUGUUACUGAAAGCCGCUGUCCCGAUUCGAUAGGCUGGCGGCCCAAGCCCACAGCACAACACCGCACGCCUGUCCUAAAACACACGCUUCUUCUUCUUCUUUUUUCACGCUAAAACUCCGAAUACUGGAAAUAGACGUUUUGGUUAAGAAGGAACUUCAGUCUGCGAAAGGGACGUAUACGGGCCGUGCUCAAACGAGAGACCGAAGCCAACCCAGCCCGCUAUGCGGCUCGCUCCGACCACCUCCUCGCCCCCGUCUCAGCGGCUCACGCACUCGGUCCGCUCAUCACCCAGCCCCGUCCCCGCGCUCAUUUCAUACCAUACGAAUCGAAAAGUAGAAACACAUGUCCUCGUUAUCGUCACAGAAAUGGAAGAGGCUCUGACAAAUCUCGGAAGCUCCGAAAAACACCACGAUGUCUCUGCACAGAGAGACGGGGAGGGAGAUGUCCCGAGGAUGGGAGAAGUACAGCGGAGGAAAAGGGCCGAAACAAACUGCCUGGCAGGGCUCCUUGGGUCUUUUGCUUUGGUUCUCCAAUUGUUAUUGUUGUUAUUAUCGUUAUUAUUAUUUUGAAAAUUAAAAAUUUUAUUUUGGAAAAUGUGUAAAAAUCUUACAUUAAAAUGGUACAAUAAUACUUGCCAGUAAUUUUUAACAAUAUUCCUUGUAAAGAAUACGCAUAAAGUACAAAAUAAAAACUCCGUAAGCCUAUUAUAAUACAAAACACAGGUUAAAAUAAGAAAUGAUAAUCUUGAUUUUCUUCUGUGUAAACAUGUUAAUCUUUUCUUUUCUUUUAUAAAAGUACAUGAGACAAGUGUACUAAAAUGAAAAAGUAUUGCUUUGCUGUCCUCCCUCAAGCCUUCUCUGUUCCUGUAAAUCACUGUUUUCAAGCUCCUAGACCUGAGAAUCUCUGAACUUUGACGGUUUAGAGACGUUAUUUAUUAUUAUUACUUUUUUUCUUCUUUCUUUCUUUCUCUCUUUCUUUCUUUCUUUCUUUCUUUUUUUUUUUAAGGAGUAACGAGUAACUUUCCAACAGCGUGACCGCCUGCCCGUGCAGCACACCGACCUGGCUGUGCAUCGGACCGGUCCCGGACAACCCGCCGGCCACAGAGAACGGCCUCAUAUAUCCCCAACGCGCAAACCGCGCGCAAAUCCCGCGCAAAUCCCGCGCAAAGCCGCUCCUCCGUGCGUCCGCCGGGCAUCCGAGCGGCAAAGAAAAAGAGCCCAGAUCCUACCUUCGGAAAGACUCCGAACCCCUUAACAGUUAGAGAUGCGGGCCGCCAGGCCGGGCGCGGCGGGCAGCGCGGCGGCG